rnacentral:lncRNA from 1 species
UGAAGUAAUCUGUGGUGCUAUUCCACUGCACAUUACAUAAAGGUCUUAAAACACACCUGUAUAUGAAAUGCAAAUCCUUCAGACACCUCUUCAUGCAGUUUAGUGCAGAAGGCUAGAAAAGAAAUUUUCAAGAUUCAUACUCAUGGCUGGAUCCCUAAGCUACCGGACAUGUUGCUUGAUGAGCUAGCUGAGAAAUGCAUUGGAUACUGUGGUGCAGAUAUAAAGUGCUUACGUGUUGAAGCUCUGCGGUGUUCUCUGUGUCAACGCUAUCCUCAGAGAUAUGCAAGUAGGGAGAAAUUGCGAGUAGAUGUUAAUUCUGUUAAA